UACUAGUAAAUGAGAAACAAUUAGCUUUUUAAUACUAAACUACUAAUGGCCACUGUUGUCUUUAUUCAAAGGUUAUAAGAAGUAUCUGGACUUAAAAAUUAGUCCGAAGAAGCUUGUGAUGGGAGUGCCAUGGUAUGGGUAUGAUUACACCUGCCUCAGCAUAUCCAAGGAGGGUAUAUGUUCCAUUAAAAAAAUGUUUCUUUCCAUGGCGCCCCCUGCAGUGACAUAGUUGUAAAACCAAGAAGUUACAGCUGGAUCAUGAAGCACAUCAACACCUCAAUUUCUGGCAGGUUGUGGGACACAAAGCAGCAAGCUCCCAACUUCAAUUAUAAGAAUGAGCAAGAACAGAUCCAACAAGUUUGAUAUGAUGACCCUGAGAGCAUUUGUGCCAAGGCUGACUUUGUGACUCUCAAAGGGUUGAGAGGCAUUGGCAUGUGGAACGGCAACAUUCUGGACUACAGUGACAUACAUACCAGUGGCCAAGCAGCAGACUGCAAAAAUGUGGGAUGCUCUAGGAUGCUAGCCAGAAAGAACAUCAAGGCUGUAGACACAUAUGGUGCU